rnacentral:misc_RNA from 1 species
CUGAGUGAGGGCCUUCGGGCUCGACCUCCAACCCUCUGUGAAACACCAACUUGUUUGCUUCGGGGGCGACCCUGCCGUUUUCGACGGCGAGCGCCCCCGGAGACCAUCAAAACACUGCAUCUUUUGCGUCGGAGUUUUAAGUAAAUUAAACAA